rnacentral:rRNA from 1 species
GAUCCCUAGCUGGUCUGAGAGGAUGACCAGCCACACUGGAACUGAGACACGGUCCAGACUCCUACGGGAGGCAGCAGUGGGGAAUAUUGCACAAUGGGCGCAAGCCUGAUGCAGCCAUGCCGC